rnacentral:misc_RNA from 1 species
GAUGAAGAACGUAGCGAAAUGCGAUAAUUAAUGUGAAUUGCAGAAUUCCGUGAAUCAUCGAGUUUUUGAACGCAUAUUGCGCCCCCUGGUAUUCCGGGGGGCAUGCCUGUCCGAGCGUCAUUGCUGCCCUCAAGCACGGCUUGUGUGUUGGGCCUCCGCCCCCCGGCUCCCGGGGGGCGGGCCCGAAAGGCAGCGGCGGCACCGCGUCCGGUCCUCGAGCGUAUGGGGCUUCGUCACCCGCUCCGUAGGCCCGGCCGGCGCCCGCCGGCGACCCCCCUCAAUCUUUCCAGGUUGACCUCGGAUCAGGUAGGGAUACCCGCUGAACUUAAGCAUAUCAAUAAGCGGAGGA